rnacentral:rRNA from 1 species
GAUCAUGGCUCAGAUUGAACGCUGGCGGCAGGCUUAACACAUGCAAGUCGAGCGGAGAUGAGGUGCUUGCACUUUAUCUUAGCGGCGGACGGGUGAGUAAUGCUUAGGAAUCUGCCUAUUAGUGGGGGACAACAUUCCGAAAGGAAUGCUAAUACCGCAUACGUCCUACGGGAGAAAGCAGGGGAUCUUCGGACCUUGCGCUAAUAGAUGAGCCUAAGUCGGAUUAGCUAGUUGGG